AUCUACGGCCAUACCACCCUGAAAGCACCCGAUCCUCGUCUCAUCUCGGAAGCUAAGCAGGGUCCGGCCUGGUUAGUACGUGGAUGGGAGACCACCUAGGAAUACCGGCUACUAUAGGCU
ensembl:rRNA 5S_rRNA 5S ribosomal RNA